CAGGAGGCGGCCGCAGGGCCGAGCGCAGCCGUGGUUCCAGCUGCUGCAGUGCCCUCUCAACUGCAUGCAUCGCUGAAAAAUGGUCCACCAAGCACCACAGCUGUGGCCCUGUCCUGAGAGGCUCGUCGGGCCACGGGGGCUCCUCUCACAGCUGCCGCAUCAAAAACAUUUGUUGCUGACCGUCCUCCGUGGGUGACACAAGAGGUCUUGCAGUGCCUUCCGGGCAGGUGCAUGCACCGGUGAUUGCUGGUGCAGCAAGCACCUUUUGAGGCACCUGUGGCUUGAGCAGUCUCUGCGCUGUUCUGAGCGGCUCAUUGGGCCACGGGGGAUCCUCUCACAGCUGCCGCCGCACGGCUUUAGGAAGCUGAUCCGUCCCAGUUGUUUAAAGUUUAAAAUGUUAAAUUAUAAUAAGUUAAUUUAUAGGAUCCACUCCAGCUGUAUUGUGGUAUGUGCCUGUGUCAUCAGAAGCUCUUGGCGGCGCAAGUACAUUUUCAGAUUCAUCAAGAUUGGCCCGAUGUAAUCUGUAUACAUACUGAUCAGCUGUUGAA
rnacentral:lncRNA from 1 species